CUUUCAUACUCAGAUAAGUUGUGAUGGAAGAAUUUGAACUAAGUUAAAAUACUCUAGAAGACAAUAUUCUGAAUAAUGCAAAUGAGCCUUCUGCUCUAUGGUUUGUGGAUAGGCUUAAAUGCUAUGCCAAUUAAAUUCAUUUGUGUUACUGUGGCCAAAUGCAAUGCUUCCCAAUAAAUUGAGAAAAGAUUAAAAAUCUUCUGAUGAGUGUUUGUCAGAGUAAUAAUAAUAACCUGGAUCUUGCAAGUUGACUAUAUUAUUGAAAUGAUUUGUUUUCUACUAAUUCUUUUUGUGUUUCAAUAGUAGAUUAUGAUGACCUUGGACCGAGAAUCUGGGUGAUUAAAUCAUGUAGUACCCAAUUGCCUUUAAAUAUUAAUCAAGGGGAAUUUGUGGGUAGCUACUCCAAAUUCAGGCACCUUUAGUCGUGAGGCAUCAUGGGGAUCUGAAAGAGCACUGUAGUUUGGUGCAGUAGUGCCAUGACUCAUACUCCAUUUUUUCCCUUGCUUGGAUAAUAAGGCAUGGCACCCAAAGGGUUGAGUAUGGGGAGCCACUCUGAAAGAUCUGCUCCUUCCAUCCUAGGGGGCAGAGACUUUGACUUGCACUACAUAUUAUAGUGAUCUGGACAUUGUCCUGGUCCAAGAAGUUUGAGGGUGUAUCUUCAGAUGUAGGCCUGUCACACCAUGACCCUUUGGGUCAAAUUACACUCACCUGUCCUUUGUAACCCUGCCACUUCUGAUGUUUUUUUUGGAUGGAACUUUCUAAGAAUGAGGGUCCCCCAAUAAAAGCCCACUUCUAAAUAUGCUCAUUCUCUCUCACAAGCCUCCCAUGACUUUCUCUUGCUUUCCCAUUUGGGGAGCCUGAGGCAGAGAGUGGAGAAACCAUCCUGAAGCUUGAUUAAAGGUAAAGUGUGUGUCUGUGUUUUCUUUGGUCGGAAAUUCACAUGAGCAACCUUAAGUUCAGCUGCCCAUGUGGGCAGCAGUUGAGCUACACUCACCUGUUCCCUUGUAAUCCUACCCCUUGCCUCAUUUG
rnacentral:lncRNA from 1 species